rnacentral:lncRNA from 1 species
ACCGAGAGCCUCAUGUGGAUGAUCCACAGAGGCCAGACAUCUUGUGUGGCUAUGUUGUAGCGAUCAGAGCCUCCCGACGGUGAUCAAAUUGCGGUGAUCGACUACCCGCAUAAAGGUAUUAUGUUCUGAAUACAGAACAGUGAAUGUUUACUGUUCAAAUUUGAAUUUCAAAUUUAAAUCCAUGAAUGUUGUAUAUCAUAUUUAGAUCCUAGUGUAGGAUAAAUA